CUUGAAAUUUCCACACCGAAUAGCAAUUUUCAAUAGCUUCAAUUUGAUAUAUAGCCGAACGUUUGGGGUCAAGUAUUUCUGCUCAUAACUCAGAAAAACUAUUUUGGCUUCAUCAAAUCAUAGGCCUUCAUCAUAGCAGUUAGCCUUCCAGUUUAUUUAUAGUUCAAUGAUAUAUACUGGCUCUGUGUUUUUGCAAGUCAGAGUGAACGUGGGCGGAUAGCCUUCCAGAGUGAAUGCGUUUUAACAAAGUAUUGUCAUGCUUUUAUGCAGUUCAACGAUGUUGACCACAAAUUAAUUUGAUAGAUACUUUCCUAGUGUAAAUUCACUUCGAAUUGAUUUCGCGCAAAAUAAAAUUACUCCAGUUAUUAUAUAUAAAGCGCACUGGCUCAUUGUUUUUUUAUCAAGAGUGAACGUUUGUGGGCGGAUAGCCUUCUUCCAAGAAUUCGACUUCUACGAAUUCGGCAAGUUGUUGUCAGCUGCGGUUACUGUAUUAAUACCUGCUGUGCGUGCAACAAAGCACGUCGCUAAAUCUAUUCCUCUUUAAUUGAGCUACUUUUAAAUUGAUUUUUUAUCGCAGUAUUUACAUUACCAAGAGAAGCUUUUAUGUACAUUCGUUCCGCCUCAUUACAACAUGAGAUUAUGCUAUUCGCCCAAAUUCGUUUCAUUUCACAUGAAUUUGAUGUGAAAUCUGUCUUUAGGAAGCUAAACACUAGAAUUUAAGGGAUAUUUAUUAAGUAUACAUUGCGACAUAGACUUCAGCAUUAAGACAUAUGAUAGAGUGAUAUACCCCUACUAUUUGUGUAAUUGUGUUUGUGCAUACAAUUAGUAAAUUUAAAUAAAACUAGC